rfam:Coccomyxa subellipsoidea C-169, whole genome shotgun sequence.
CGCGAUAAGGUCACCUCUUCUGGCGGGCUAUUCUUUCGCCUUUUACUAAAGAAUACCGAGCGGUGUCCUUACUAAAUCGCAUACACCAAUUUUUUCUGGCCUCAGGGCCUUGACACA